rnacentral:rRNA from 1 species
GAUGAACGCUGGCGGCGUGCCUAAUACAUGCAAGUCGAGCGAACAGAUGAGGAGCUUGCUCCUCUGACGUUAGCGGCGGACGGGUGAGUAACACGUGGAUAACCUACCUAUAAGACUGGGAUAACUUCGGGAAACCGGAGCUAAUACCGGAUAAUAUAUUGAACCGCAUGGUUCAAUAGUGAAAGACGGUUUUGCUGUCACUUAUAGAUGGAUCCGCGCCGCAUUAGCUAGUUGGUAAGGUAACGGCUUACCAAGGCAACGAUGCGUAGCCGACCUGAGAGGGGGAGUCGGCAAACUGGAACGUAGACACGGGCCAGACACCUACGGGGGGGAGCAGGGGGGAAAAUUGCACAAAGGGGGAAAACCUUACAGAGCCAUGCCGCGGGGGGGAAGAAGGUUUUUGGAUUGUAAAAACUUUUAAGUUGGGAGAAAAAAAAGGGAUAAAAAACCUUGCUGGUUUGGAGUGAACAAAAUAAGAAACCCCGGCUAACUUCGUG